AUAACAAUAUAUAUUAUCAAACAAAAAAGAAUUUUUACACGUCAACCAGUAUCUAUAUAACUCGAAUUUCACGCGGGACAGCAACAAACAAACAAAAAAAAGUCAACAUUUUUAUUUUUUAUUAACAGCCUUGAACAGCAUUCAAUACUUUGUUUAACGUUGAAUCGGAAAAUAAUGGACGAGUAUCUAGCAUUUGAUUUCCAAUAACAGUUACCGAAUUUUUCUUUUUCAAAAUUGUAAUAACACCAGUUUCCAUAUCGCAUAUCCAUUGGUCUCCUAAGUGAUUUUUACAAAAUAAAAAUAAAUCAUUAGAUUGAUCAAGUCGGAGUAAUCUUUUGGUGUCUUCAAAAGUGAUUGUCUGGUGUUUCUGCAAGCCUGUGCAAAUAUUCGUCGGAUUCCAGGAGUUCCCAGAACGAAAGAAAUCGGCACUUUUGUAAUAACCCUUCAAUUUCUAUUAAGGACCUUAAAAUAGAAUCUUCCGUUUGAUACUGUAAAGGUAUUUGACAAAGACACAGAUCAAAGUCAUUUGACGGUAAAUGCAUCAGUGCUUGAAUCAAAAUAUUUUGAAUUAUGUGACACUUUGAUUCUUUUUUGAACAUUAAAUAAUGUUUCAAAACCAAAAGAUUUGCAUCAAGAUUGUAGAGUUCUGGAUGACACAUUUCAAGACAUACGAAAUUCUCCAGAACGUCAAUAACACUAGGAUCCUGGUACAAAGUACAAGUUUCAACUAUUUUCUUUACAAGUUUUUCUUGAUCUAUCAAAGAACUGGAAAAACUCAUAUUGCCACUAUGAUUUAUAUUAGAAGUCAUUUCUGAACAAAAAAACUUACGGCAAUAAAGGAAUUUUUACGUUAGAAAAAAAGAACUUUGAAAUGUCUGCGCCUUCUGACCCAGUCAAUAUUCAUUUCUUAAAGCAUUCGACAUCGAAAUAAUUUGAUUAAACCAUUUCACUAAUUCAAUUUUUCUUUCCAGAGAAAAUCUAUUUUUUUAUAUAAACUAUAAAAAUUUUAGAAAAUAUCAAGAAUUUAAAUAGCUUUUAUUAUAACAUGUUUUUUAAUUCGAUCGUUUAUAAAAGUGUUAGACGUUAUGUCAAAAGAAACAAAAGCUUUCGACAUUAUUAUGAUUUUUGUCUUAUGAUGCAUCUUAUUUCCAGUCUUCGUUCAUCAAGUAACGCUAUCACAUUACUUUGAUGCUAUUGUACCUUUAAUCUAACACC